rnacentral:rRNA from 1 species
UACGUAGGGGGCAAGCGUUGUCCGGAAUCAUUGGGCGUAAAGAGCGCGUAGGCGGUCCGGUAAGUCAGCUGUGAAAGUCAGGGGCUCAACCCUUGAAAGCCGGUUGAUACUGUCGGGCUAGAGUGCGGAAGAGGCGAGUGGAAUUCCUGGUGUAGCGGUGAAAUGCGCAGAUAUCAGGAGGAACACCGAUUGCGAAGGCAGCUCGCUGGGACGUUACUGACGCUGAGACGCGAAAGCGUGGGGAGCAAACAGG